AGUGAACGCUGGCGGCGUGCCUAACACAUGCAAGUCGAACGCGAAAGUCCCGCAAGGGACAAGUAGAGUGGCAGACGGGUGAGUAAUGUAUAGGUAAUCUACCUUUGAGUGGGGGAUAACACCGGGAAACCGGUGCUAAUCCCGCAUAAUAUUCCGGCACACAAGUAUCGGAAUCAAAGGGGGGAGUCUUCGGAACCUCCCGCUUGAAGAUGAGCCUAUAUCCUAUUAGCUUGUUGGUGGGGUAAUGGCCUACCAAGGCAAUGAUGGGUAGCCGAGCUGAGAGGCUGAUCGGCCACACUGGAACUGAAACACGGUCCAGACUCCUACGGGAGGCUG
rnacentral:rRNA from 1 species